UACGUAGGGUGCAAGCGUUGUCCGGAAUUAUUGGGCGUAAAGAGCUCGUAGGCGGUCUGUCGCGUCGGCUGUGAAAUCCCGAGGCUCAACCUCGGGUCUGCAGUCGAUACGGGCAAACUAGAGUAUUGCAGGGGAGACUGGAAUUCCUGGUGUAGCGGUGAAAUGCGCAGAUAUCAGGAGGAACACCGGUGGCGAAGGCGGGACUCUGGGCCGAUACUGACGCUGAGGAGCGAAAGCGUGGGGAGCGAACAGG
rnacentral:rRNA from 1 species